rnacentral:antisense_RNA from 1 species
CUUGAUCGAGCCGAGCCACAGCGGAUCGGCGGUACGGCCCUGGCCGUACGUGGCCAGCAGCGCCUCGGCCUC